CCACGGGCUCCCAACCGCGCAGCACCCCCGCCUCCGCGCUUCCCCGAGCGUGCAGCUCCCGAUAUCAAAUGGGGCAAAGCAAGAAAAGAGGACUCUGUGGGAGUGCAUUGGAAUUGGAGAUAUAAUAUACACCUACACAACCCGUUCAGCAAGAGAAUUCCAAAGGCAUGUUUUUAAAGAAGGGGCCUCAAGGAGACUGGAUUGAGAUAAGGAGAGCCUGCAAUUAAAGGAGAGUUUUACAAAAGGUUGAAAUGAGAAGGAAAGAAAGAAAGGGGCUUCUAUAAGAAGAGGAGGGAUGGAGCAAGAUGGCAGAAUAGAAGCCUACACCAUUCAUAUUCCCUGCAGAAACACCAAAUUUUAACAACUGGAUACAGAAAAGCACCAUCACAGGUACCAAAACUCAGGUUGCUCAUGCUGGGGGAAGCUAGCCAUCAUGUCAUGCCGACACUCAAGUAACUCAUAAAGAGGAACUUUUCCAACCAGCACCAUGGCAGAGAGCUGUCUUAUGUUCAGAUUUUCCAGACCCAGUCAACUCUUCUGACGCCUGCAGAAAUGGCUGACAUCCUGACUGCAACAUCUUAAGUGAUCCUAUGGCAGAACCCCCAGUGCCCAGAGAUGCUCUCCGCACCAAGCCACAGAAGUGGAGGAGGCAGG